rnacentral:misc_RNA from 1 species
CGCCGCGGUAAUUCCAGCUCCAAUAGCGUAUAUUAAAGUUGUUGCAGUUAAAAAGCUCGUAGUUGAAUUUCGGGAUUGACACAUCGGUCGUGCCUUAAGGGGUAUGAACUGGUGUAGUCAAUUUCUCACCUUCUGGAGAACCGCGAUGCCCUUAAUUGGGUGUCGCGGGGAACCAGGACCUUUACUUUGAAAAAAUUAGAGUGUUUAAAGCAGGCAUUUUGCUUGAAUACAUUAGCAUGGAAUAAUAAAAUAGGACGGCAUGAUUCUAUUUUGUUGGUUUCUAGGAUCACCGUAAUGAUUAAUAGGGAUAGUUGGGGGCAUUAGUAUUCAAUUGUCAGAGGUGAAAUUCUUGGAUUUAUUGAAGACUAACUACUGCGAAAGCAUUUGCCAAGGAUGUUUUCAUUAAUCAAGAACGAAAGUUAGGGGAUCGAAGACGAUCAGAUACCGUCGUAGUCUUAACCAUAAACUAUGCCGACUAGGAAUCAGACGAUGUUAAUUUUUUAAUGACUCGUUUGGCACCUUACG